GUGUUUCCCUUCUCCAUGUGUCUUAUCUUUUCUAUGGCUUCCUUCCCUUCCCUUUGCUGUUUUCUGGAUGAUUUCUUCACAUGUGGCUUCCAGUCACUAACUCCUGCUUCAGCUAUGCCUACGUUCCUACUGAAGUUCUAUUUGGUUCUUUUUCAGAUCUGCUUCAUCAUUUUUUACAGCUUCUAAUUCCCUGCACGGUUUUCCAACCCUGCCUUCUAUUUAUUCAAACGCAUCGAACACAGUUAUUUUCUCUUCUCUGCCUAAAUAUUGCUGUAGCUGAGGUCCCGAGGGUCUGUUUCUGCUGUGAAUGGUUCGUGCUGGCUCUGGCUCUGGCUCAUGGUGUCUUCUCUCUUCUGAUGCUUCGUUAUUUUUGAGGACGAACUGCUCAUUUUCUGUGGAAGUUACGCGGAGAAAAUCCUUUGAGACUCAGGACGAGGGCCUGUGCUUUCUGAGAAGAUUUACAUUUGCUUCAGCAAACGCCUGGGUUACUGCCUGUCUGAGACCACCCUCAACUCCCAGCUAGCAGUUGCACGCUGCCUUCCCUCUGUCACCCCAAUAAAGGGGACGUGGCCUCCUGCGGCCCCACCUGUUGAACACCCUCAGGGACAGUACACAGGAAAGGACAGUGUGACAAGGUUCUCCCUGGACUCCCUCAGCAGCAAGCAAAUGGCAAAGGAGCCAGUCUGGGACAACGUAGCUGGCACACAGGCCUCGGCGGAGCUGAGCACGAACACAAGUCCUGGCAGCCUCGGAUCCACAACCCCGGCGGCUGCUGAGGCCGACUGCCCUGUCCUCUGCCCCGGUAACCCCCGCGCUGAUGCGCGCAUUCCCAGCAGGCCCCCCUUAGGCCGGAGCUCGCUCGAACGGGACUUGUGUUAUUCUCAACCAGGAAAGUCCUGACUAACGGCAGGAUGGUGCAUCGUCUUUUGACCUUCUGCAAGGUUAUUCACCUGCUAAGUAAACCUUUCCUCCAAAAGGGCAGUAGGAUAAGUUUCACCCUACCCCAAGGUCAAAAAUGAUUGAGAAUCCCAAAUCA